UACGGGGGGGGCGAGCGUUGUUCGGAAUUACUGGGCGUAAAGGGUUCGUAGGUGGCCUGCUAAGUCAGACGUGAAAUCCCUCAGCUUAACUGGGGAACUGCGUCUGAAACUGGCGGGCUUGAGUGCAGGAGAGGAACGCGGAAUUCCAGGUGUAGCGGUGAAAUGCGUAGAUAUCUGGAGGAACACCGGUGGCGAAGGCGGCAUCCUGGACCAAUAUUGACGCUGAGGAGCGAAAGCUAGGGGAGCAAACGGG
rnacentral:rRNA from 1 species